GAAGAACUUCUAAAAGACAGGACUCUUGUGCUUGGGAACAGAAUGCUUCAUGUUCCAAUAGCCAAGAGCUUGAGCCGGCCAAACUAGAGACUCUGACAUGAGGGCAACCAGCUGGGUUGCGUAAGGUCCCUGAUCCACCGGGCCCCAGGUGGCACUGCUUUACUAAAGACCAAGUCAGCCUUGGAACUUGUGACCAACAGCUGCCUCCCUCCUUGGGGCACCGGGAUGGAGUGGAGGUUGUGUGUCACUGUCAGAAUGUGGCCGAGUCCACUCUUGGAUCUUUAACCUCUUGAAGACUCUUGUGCUAGUCCUGUCUCCUCUGGUACGGCUACACAUCUGUAUGCCUCUCCAGCUGUGCGGGGGCUGCGCUUCACCCUGUGGCUCAGCCCUUCGGAGGUUCCGUUUGCUGCACCAAACAGUUGACUGCCGAUAGGGAACGUCUCACUGCACCCUUUUCCCCGCCAUCUGUCUGACCUGGACCCAGUCCAAGCACGGCAGCUCUGCUGGCAAAAUGGUCUUCCUGCUACAGAAGUUUUGUAAUCUGCUAAUUGACAGGUAAGAGACAGAUGGCAAAGAAGGAGUUUGCGUUAUUGAACAAGAUACAGAACAGGGCCCGGCAGUCUCACUGACGGGCUAACAUCUUCGGCAGUCAUUCUGUCUAAUAGCAUCUUCGCUUUCGUACAGGGCCUGCUCCCACACUUAGUUCUUCAUUUAAGUGCAAAGCUGUUAUCAAUUUUCUUUUUGCCUGUGGGCUGAGGGCAGAAGAAUCCUAGAGAAACAAGUAUCAUCGAAAUCGUGCCGUUGUGGUUGACAUUUAUGGUUGUCCUCGUGUUGGAAUUGUGCUUUAAAAGUCAGUGUGAGCAGCCCCCGCUUCAGGAGUGUGGCUGUGUCUGGCAAUCCGGAUGCUGUUGCUGAAGCACAGUCCUCUGCUUGAAACCCCACUGCAGGUAGUGCAGGAGUGCGGUGGAAUACUGCGGCUCUGGACCCCUUGGGGCCCCCUCACCGCUGCAGGCCCCCAACCUGCACCUGAACAAUGAUCAGCAGAAGGAAAGAUGAGAAUGGGAGAGGAUUUCUUCCAUACCUUUGAAAACUUCAAAGUUGCUCCCAAUCUGGUUCUGAUGAUCCAUGUCUUAGUGCAAAGCAAACAUAAAGGUCUGAAAUCUGCACACUGAUCGGAAAUAGUUGUUGGAAAGUCAGAUUUAAUCCCAUGAGCUAACUGAUCACUACCAACAGCGAUCAGGGAAAAAACCAAAGUCCACAGCAAAUUUUAAUUUGGCAAAUGCAUAAAAGGUUCAAAAGAGCAGAGGUCUCAUUUACAUUCCUCCCUCUUAUAUGGGAUUUUCUUCUAUAUUAGUAAUUAAAGGGUGCAGGCUAUAGAGCGCAACUAUAUCACAUAAUAGCCAUCGGGAACACACUAACAACUUCCUUGAAGUAACGCACACUAGGGUGUUUAUGGUUCAGUGUCACAUAGAUUCUCUUUGAUCUAAAUUAGGAUUCAUUGGCAAACUCACAAUAGGCUCCACAUGUACCCCUCUCAACCUCUUUCUUUUAAUCAUGGAAAUUAGAGAUGGAAAAUAUCCAUUAAGUCACUUAGUCCAUUUCCCUGCCAGGGUGAAAUUGUUGCCUGUGAUAGGAGGGUAGUGCUUGGUCCAGCUUAAAUAUACGUGUCUCAGGGGAUGUGCAGGCUCCUGAUUUUAUAAUUUUCUUCUUUUCCUUAAAAUUCAUAAGGGGAAAAACAUGAAAGAGAGAUAAAAGUUCCCUCCUCUCCUCGUUGGAUUGGCGGUCAUGGUGAUGGGGUGGGCAAAUGGCCUCACGUGGUGUCAGCUUUGAAAACCCCACCUCUUGGGGUGGCAGUUCUAUUCCCCGCAAGGUACUCUGAUAAAUGUAAGCCCUGCCCCAAGCUUUCCUCUUCAGCUCAGUGGAACUCUCUAGAGCCUAAAGUACUCUGCGACCUAAGCCAGCAAGUGCUCUCAGUUUAUUGGGGGACAGCGAGGCCUGGGAGAUGAGAAGCUGCUUGUUUCCUGGUCCCUUGGUGACUGGUUAUAGACUGCAAAGUCCCUCACUGGACUAGGUGCUCCCAAAAGUAGGGAGGGCUCACUAUUGGGUCACAGCCUGUCUCAUUUCGUGAGGGGCUUCUUGCAGUAUUUGGACAUUUGGCCCCCACAAGAUAAGAAAUGUGUGUCACAGCACAGUGAAUUCUCUCCCUGGCUCCUUUUUAGUCACAGGAGGAUGAUUGUCCCUCAACAUCUGCCCAUGGCUCCAGCUGUGGGCCUCAGAUCUGCAGGGAAGCAGCAAAACCCACUGACCAGUGGGCUCUUAGGGGGUGGCAGAGAUGAGAUUUCAAAGGAGGAAUAAUGACCCAGGGUGAGGUUUGCAUUUUGAGUUUGUUUCAGAGGUCUUUUUCAGUCUGCUAAAAUCACCCAUGAGAUGAUUUUGGAAAAACCUGAUACAUGAACAUUUCCAAUUCUGAUCUAGAUGUAUAGUGUGCAAUUAUUCGCAUUGUAAGAUGGGAGUCUUCCCUCCAGGAUUCACUGUGGUUUCAUUAAAUAGCUGACUUCCCUCAAGCAUUUGAAGGAGGAUCAGGUUUGCGAAAGCUUAUGUCUUUAUUGAGGAGGCUACCAUCAUAUCAAGCCGUGGCAGGUUUCCAUUAGACACAGAAAGUUUGCCUUUCCGUAUGUCCAAACACAUGGCUAAUAUUAACUGUGCAUUCGCUGAGAUAUUUUCCAGGGCUUCUGUUUUAUACAGUAUAUCCCCAAGAUAAUUCUUAAAUACCCCCAGGUGGUGACAGAGAAUGGCUCUGUGAGGGACCAAACACUAACACAAAAUUUUAAAAAAACAACCAAAACUCGACAUUCUGGAAUGUACUUCUAAUGUCAGAUUCUGUACUUUGCUAAUGAAACUCUCAAUUUUGAAAAGCAGAUGUGGCAGAGUCUUCUCACUGGCUCCCUGAGUUUAUUUUUUUAUUUUUAAAAUUUUUUUAUUGGUACCAGGGAUUGAACUCACGACUGCCUGCUUGCAAGGCAGGCGCUUAUGCUGCUGAGCUAAAUCCCCAGCCCCCUAAAAUCUCAAUUUUGAAAAGCAGAUGUGGUAGUGCCUGCUCACUGUGCUCCCUGAGUUUUAGGGCCUGCCUUUCCCACCCACCUAUAUGUGGCUCACUGUAUGUUGGCCGAUGAGAUGUAGGGGAAGUGGUAGGAACAUUCCUGUGGGGUGUCCUUAAGGGCCACCACCCCAUUCCCUUCUGCCGUUGGCCUGGCAAAGGCACAUGCGGUGCGUGCAGCUGUCAUCUUAGACCACAGGCUGAUGCGCCUAUCGGAGGAGGGAUUGGAAAGUUCUUGAGCUCCAUGGGGUUUUGCAAGGCAUCCAUAUUAACCUUGAAGAAUCUAGAAAUUUUUUUUUCCUAGCAAAGAAUAUUUUUUCUACAUAUAAGAAUGAGACCAACACUAGUACCCGGGAGGCUGAGACAGAAGGAUGGUGAAUGUGAGUCCAGCCUGGCAUACGUAGGGAGUUCAGGACUAGUCUGGAUUGUAUAGUGUUUCAACAAACAAACUGGAAUAAAAUCUAGAGUGAGAGUUUUGUCAUCAAUUUUUGUUUUAGAGUGGGGUUCUGCUAUGUUCAUUGCCCAGGCUGGCUUCUAACUCCUGAGCAUAAACAAUCCUCGUACCUCAGCCUGCUAAGUGCGUAGCUGGGACGAUAGCCCAUGUGCCACAGUGCCAGGCUUCUGUCACCAAUCUUCACCUGCUUUGGUAAACAAUUAACAUCUUGUUAAAGUCUCUUUCAAUUUCACUUGCUAACCAAUGCUAGCUCCUCUUUAUUCUGAGUGUAACCUUGAAUACAGAUGCCAGUAUAGGUGCCUGACAGGACCAAGUGCACCAAUUUCUAAACGUCUGUCUGGCGAAGACAACAAGAUGGUCAUUGAAAGCCCUUGUUCAGUUUCUGGGAUCCAUUCUGUUCUUAGCGCAUAAGCGUGUGUGCUCUCAUUCUGUAAAGAUUUGCUGAGAGCCCAGGCAAGACUACUGGUGAGUAAAAAUUUAAAGGACGCGAGGGAAGAGGGACAACAGAGGUAAAGAGAAAAAGAUAAAGGCAGACAAGGGCCCCAACAGUGCACAUGUGUGUAACAACUUGCGGUGUGGAAAGAAAAAAUAUCUAUAUUACAACUUUAAUUCCUUUUAGUCAUUUUUUUCCUCAAGAGAGGCAUCAGGGGAUUUAAUAAUAUUUAACAUGCAGAUUAUUACACUGUUGGCCCAUGACAUAGAAGCCACCGAGCCCCAAGGUGCUGGGGGCCAGCGUCUGCACACCUCGGCUGGUGGAGCAGCCUCACUGGUCUAGUUGCCUUCUGCAGGCAGAGGCAUCUUGCAGCCAUGUGUAAUGAGUGUGCUCGGCUGUGUGGCUUUCUACUGUGCAUCAUGCAUGUUCAAGAACAUCCUCAAGAAGCGGGGUAGCAGCUUCCUGCAAAGAAACUGCUGGCUUUGCCCGUCAUGCUAGCGUUACCUUCAGACCAACUUGUAAAUGGCCGGGCUGGUGCUUCUGCCACUCAGACCAACCUUUGUCCACCUCGUUCAAAGUGAACUUAAUGACAGAGCAAGGUGCUGUGUCUGGAGGAAGAAGCUGAAAUGACUUGAGAAUUAUUAGAAGGCCCCUUUCAAUGAUCAACAUCCCCGUCACUAACAGUGAGCCUUGGCCUCAUGAUUUACACUAUCAGGGGAUGAUAGAGGCCCAUGGAUAUAAUGUACAAGUAAAUAAAUA